rnacentral:rRNA from 1 species
ACGCUCGACACCUACGGGAGCAGCAGUGGGGAAUAUUGCACAAUGGGGGAAACCCUGAUGCAGCGACGCCGCGUGAGCGAAGAAGUAUUUCGGUAUGUAAAGCUCUAUCAGCAGGGAAGAAACUGACGGUACCUGACUAAGAAGCACCGGCUAAAUACGUGCCGGCAGCCGCGGUAAUCUGAGCGGGCUGGCAAGGC